GACGAACGCUGGCGGCGUGCUUAACACAUGCCAGUCGAACGGAAAGGCCCUGCUUUUGUGGGGUGCUCGAGUGGCGAACGGGUGAGUAACACGUGAGUAACCUGCCCUUGACUUUGGGAUAACUUCAGGAAACUGGGGCUAAUACCGGAUAGGAGCUCCUGCUGCAUGGUGGGGGUUGGAAAGUUUCGGCGGUUGGGGAUGGACUCGCGGCUUAUCAGCUUGUUGGUGGGGUAGUGGCUUACCAAGGCUUUGACGGGUAGCCGGCCUGAGAGGGUGACCGGCCACAUUGGGACUGAGAUACGGCCCAGACUCCUACGGGAGGCAGCAGUGGGGAAUAUUGCACAAUGGGCGGAAGCCUGAUGCAGUAACGCCGCGUGCGGGAUGACGGCCUUCGGGUUGUAAACCGCUUUCGCCUGUGACGAAGCGUGAGUGACGGUAAUGGGUAAAGAAGCACCGGCUAACUACGUG
rnacentral:rRNA from 1 species